CCUACGGGAGGCAGCAGUGGGGAAUAUUGCACAAUGGGGGAAACCCUGAUGCAGCGACGCCGCGUGAGUGAAGAAGUAUUUCGGUAUGUAAAGCUCUAUCAGCAGGGAAGAAGCAAGACGGUACCUGACUAAGAAGCUCCGGCUAAAUACGUGCCAGCAGCCGCGGUAAUACGGAGGGGGCCAGCGUUAUCCGGAUUUACUGGGUGUAAAGGGAGCGUAGACGGUAUGGCAAGUCUGAAGUGAAAGCCCAGGGCUUAACCCUGGGACUGCUUUGGAAACUGUUAGACUAGAGUGCUGGAGAGGUAAGUGGAAUUCCUAGUGUAGCGGUGAAAUGCGUAGAGAGUAGGAGGAACACCAGUGGCGAAGGCGGCUUGCUGGGCUUUUACUGACGCUGAGGCUCGAAAGCGUGGGGAGCAAACAGGAUUAGAUACCCGAGUAGUC
rnacentral:rRNA from 1 species